GCGACGAUCUGAGAUUCUCUUCAUAACAUCCCCCCCACACAAAUACACACGCACACACCACACGCACGACCGCGGAGGGAACUUCCGGACCGGAAGUAGUUUCGCUGGGGAGACGGGGAUCUGCAGCUGCCGGAUGUGUGUGCCGCGGUACGGGAGCAGCUCAUAGAGGAUGGCUUCCUAGAAGGAUCAAGGAAAGGAAUUAAGGAAGAAGGAGGAAGUUCCUGUACUUGAAAAUUAUCAUUUCAGAGGACAACUUUAACUGAACACCAAAAUUUAUGACUAUGAGAACUCCAUAGCAGAUAUAGAAGAAAUACUGUCAUCUCCAUGUUAUUCACUAUUUUCUGUGUACAGAAGAAAAUGGCUGAGCCUCAGGAGUCACUGACGAUGGAAGAUGUGUCCGUGGAAUUUACUAAGGAGGAAUGGCAGCUCCUGGGCCCUGCUCAGAAGAACCUGUACUGGGAUGUGAUAUUUGAGAACUAUUGGAAUCUGGUGUCACUAGGUGAAGACAGUUUACUUGCAUCACUUAGUACCCCAACACUAUCCUUUCCUUUCUUACCUAAUGAAA
rnacentral:lncRNA from 1 species